UAGUCUUGAACUUCAUUUGAUCAGUCCAGUCACACCUGAAACAAUAUCCUUCCUCAAAGGUACUGGUGCCUAAAAAAUACAUUGAAGCACAGGGACAUGCCUAUUUUGAUAAAAUGCAGACAGAGUGAGGAUCUCUUCCGGGAAAGAGGAGCUCUCAAGGUUACUUGGUCAUGGGGAUCUUCAAAGCUCGGUCAUACUUGUGUUUGCAAACGAUCAGGACCUGAAAGUCGUGAUGACUCUGGCUGAAAUCAUGGAUGCACUUAACCGUCACAGCAUCAAGAACCAUCAUGAUUGGCAUAUACAAGCAAGUUGUAC